CGCCAGUCGACAUUUUCGGCACAGCAUCAUCAGCGCUGACGUGGAAACUACGUGAGCGAAGGCACGGGCCGUUCACCCAUACUGUCAUUAGUGACGACUCAGGCUACGUAAAACUUCGGUGAGCGACUAUGGACAGCUCAGUAUCGUCUCAGCUGGACAGCAGUUUAAAUGACUCAUUGACAGAUGGAGAGGAAAACCAGAGUGAAACCAGCCCUUCUCCUGCAGCUGCUGCUCAGGCGUCACUAGCAGAAGAGUCUUCCGGUGUGACUGUUGUUCAGCUGCCUGGUCAGACAGUUCAAAUCCAGGGGGUCAUCCAGGCCCCGCAGACCUCUGUUAUACAAUCACCACAAGUUCAGACUGUCCAGGUGAGGGCACAUGCUUGCCUCAGAACUCAUUUGAACUCUUUUAAUGGAUGACUCAGUUUUCACAUCAGAGAAUAGCUUUGUCAAUACAUGCAAAAUUUAAUUUCAGUUCCAAAUUUUAACUAGAGACUAAUGAAACAUCUGUAUGCAGUAAGCAAAGUAGUUAGAGGCUCCUUUGGGUCAUGCCAGAGUCAGAACCCAAGUCAAUCAGGAGACUGAAGUCAACUCUUAGCCAAGUUGCCAGUCUCUCAGGGUGGGUCUCAGGUCUUACAUAAUUCAAGAUAUGAUCAGGUCAGAUGUUUCAGAGUAAGUUUCAAGUCCAUUAGGA